GUCGAGCGGACCGAACGAGGGCUUGCUCUUGUUUGGUCAGCGGCGGACGGGUGAGUAACACGUGGGCAACCUGCCCUGCAGACUGGGAUAACUUCGGGAAACCGGAGCUAAUACCGGAUAACACCGAAAACCGCAUGGUUUUCGGUUGAAAGGCGGCUUUUAGCUGUCACUGCAGGAUGGGCCCGCGGCGCAUUAGCUAGUUGGUGAGGUAACGGCUCACCAAGGCGACGAUGCGUAGCCGACCUGAGAGGGUGACCGGCCACACUGGGACUGAGACACGGCCCAGACUCCUACGGGAGGCAGCAGUAGGGAAUCUUCCGCAAUGGACGAAAGUCUGACGGAGCAACGCCGCGUGAGCGAAGAAGGUCUUCGGAUCGUAAAGCUCUGUUGUCAGGGAAGAACAAGUACCGUUCGAACAGGGCGGUACCUUGACGGUACCUGACGAGGAAGCCACGGCUAACUACGUGCCAGCAGCCGCGGUAAU
rnacentral:rRNA from 1 species